GGGGGUUUAGCUCAGUUGGUAGAGCGUUCGCUUAGCAUCCAACCUAAUGUGCGAAAGGUCGCGUGUUCGACUCAUGCAGUCUCCA
rfam:Tstilago hordei, Th4857-4, WGS project CAGI01000000 data, contig: THOR_scaffold_5.00018